AUACGAAGGGGGCUAGCGUUGUUCGGAAUCACUGGGCGUAAAGCGCGCGUAGGUGGACUAAUCAGUUGAGGGUGAAAUCCCGGGGCUCAACCUCGGAACUGCCUUCAAUACUGUUAGUCUUGAGACCGAGAGAGGUGAGUGGAAUUCCUAGUGUAGAGGUGAAAUUCGUAGAUAUUAGGAAGAACACCAGUGGCGAAGGCGGCUCACUGGCUCGGUACUGACGCUGAGGUGCGAAAGCGUGGGGAGCAAACAGGAUUAGAAACCCUUGUAGUCC
rnacentral:rRNA from 1 species